GAGAUUUUAUUUUAAAAAAAAUAUAAUUUUUGCUAAAUUAAAAUACAUUUAUUUGUAAAUCUUU
rnacentral:tRNA from 1 species